rnacentral:rRNA from 1 species
AUUGAACGCUGGCGGCAGGCCUAACACAUGCAAGUCGAACGAGCGGCGGACGGGUGAGUAAUAUGUGUGAGAAUCUCCGUUGGGGGGGGAGAACUACUGGGAACGGUGGCUAAUAUCGCGUACCACAAGAGGUGCGCAGAUGUGGUGAGCUCGUGGGUGGGGUAAGGGCUCACCAAGGCGACGAUCCCUAGCUGGUCUGAGAGGAUGACCAGCCACACUGGAACUGAGACACGGUCCAGACUCCUACGGGAGGCAGCAGUGGGGAAUAUUGCACAAUGGGCGCAAGCCUGAUGCAGCCAUGCCGCGUGUGUGAAGAAGGCCUUCGGGUUGUAAAGUACUUUCAGCGGGGAGGCGUUACCCGCAGAAGAAGCACCGGCUAACUCCGUGCCAGCAGCCGCGGUAAUAC